rnacentral:rRNA from 1 species
CCUACGGGCGGCAGCAGUGGGGAAUAUUGCACAAUGGGGGAAACCCUGAUGCAGCAACGCCGCGUGAAGGAAGACGGUUUUCGGAUUGUAAACUUCUGUUCUUAGUGAAGAAUAAUGCCGGUAGCAAAUGAACAACCCCCGGUUACCUACGUCCCAGCAGCAGCGGUAAUACGUAGGUGGCAACCGUGUUCCGGAUUUCUUGGGGGCAAAGGGGGCGAAGGCGGGAUGCCAAGUCAGCUGUGAAACCGACGGGCUUAACUUGUAGACUGCAUUUGAACUUGGGUGGCUUGAGUGAAGUAGAGGUUGGCGGAAUUCCGGGUGUAGCGGUGAAAUGCGUAGAUAGUGGGAGGAACACCAGUGGCGAAGGCGGCCAACUGGGCUUUAACUGACGCUGAGGCUCGAAAGUGUGGGGAGCAAACAGGAUUAGAUACCCUUGUAGUC